AGUCAAACUAUCCUGUUUGGUAGGUAAACACAGAAAAACAAAGACAGAGAGCAGAGGGCAUUGUCUUGUAUCUAGACAUCUGUGGGAUCAGUAAUCCUGCUGAUGAGCAGCACAAGCCCAGUCAGAUAAUCAUAAAUGAUUAGUAUAAACGGUCGGUCAAAGGUGAUCCUUUGGGGAACACUGAAAUCAAGCGGAACGUCCAUUUUAGCCAUCUCUCUGGAACCGGACUCUUCCACCUCCAGCAUGACCUCAUGAAGAGCCUGGAAGCAAAGCAACACAAAGCGCAUCUCUUUAAUAGGGAGACGUUGCCUGCAUGCAAGGAAAGCGACGAAAUCCCAGCCUUUCUCAGGAUACUCUCCAAAUUAUACGAUUUUCUCAGCUGGAACUUUGGAAAACGGAUCUCUGCCCUCCUGUGAAAACAACAAUCAAAGUGUUAAUGGAUCCGCCGGUAGAGGUCUUGUUACAAGUCGUGCAAGUGGUACUGAUUGCUUUAACAGGCUUAUGCAGAGAAAAGAGUAAUUAAUGCUCAUUUAAAAUGGUCUCGGCUUCAUUCAUCAUGCCUUUGGGGGGGCAGACAACUGACUCCUUGAGACUAAAGAAAUUUCACCCACUUCAACUGCUGAGAUGAAAGAGCUGUGUUUAUUUUUUCAGCAUGUUACUGGUAGCACUAGAUAUAUAAGGGAUGUUGAGGCUACUGAGACCCUUCUGGUGGUUAAGUGACGCAGCAAAUUAAAUCACCAGGAGAUUUACAAGUACAAAUUAUGCUACUUUCAUACCCUUUGUCUUGUAUGACAUGUUCAAAAGUCCAAAAACUGGGUUUCUAAUAACUAAAUGAAGAGGGUAUUGUAGAAAAUCAAGUCCUUUCAAGUCUGGAAAUUAAAAUGUGUCUGGGAAGCUUGUUCUGAC